rnacentral:misc_RNA from 1 species
GCUUGGUACUAGAUUUCAGCCAAUCAACACCGACGGGAGAAAGUAAGUAAUCACCGGACGGAGAUUUUUUCCCUUUGGUCAAGUAGUUCUUAGAACGGAGAAGAAAGAGAUCGCCAGGCGGCGAGGCCCAACCAUUUAUCCCGGUGUGAAGGUCGACAAGGCGUAAGGAUCCGCCGUCGAUCGUCUCGGAAAUCCAAUCCCCCGUCGUCGUGGACUCUCCAUGUUCGGAACACCUUUCGGCCGAUUCUCCGAUUAAGUUCCGGUGACUUUGCUUUUGCUUCGUGGGGCACAUGGCUUCUAGUAGUAACGCU